rnacentral:lncRNA from 1 species
GGAUUUUGGGGGCCACAGAAGUUUCACAGAAGACUUGCCUGGGACCUCUGGCUGCUCACUGCAUGGCAUGACGAUCACUGGGUUUCCAGCCUAGUGGUACCAGCUGAGGAUGGUGAGCAAGAAGAGCAGAGAAAAGGCUGAUCCCAAGCACAGUUACUUCAUUCUGCAUUACAGACUGAGUGACUUGGCUUGUACUCACGGAGUAAACCAGAGAACACUUCCUUCCAGGAGGAAUCUGUGCAAUCUCACCAUGUAUUUUACUUAAAGUCAUCUGGUAGAAGCAAGACUAUGGCCAAAGAGGGACUGACAGAAUCAGGCUGCAUUCACGGUGGUACAUUCCUCAGAAAUGCUCCCUACAUGGUCAGCUUUGCACCCUUCUGAAAAUGAUCUGCUUCCAAAAGGGGAUAUCAAAGACGCCAUAGCCUAGAACUUUGCGAUAGUAAAAAGGUACAUCUGAGUUUUCUGCUCGUUUUCUGUACUUUCUCAGCUACAGGAAUAGCAUCACUGACAAUUGUUGGAGUCCAUUAAAAUACGGAUGAUCCGUUCUGCGGACCAGCAGCUUCUCGUACACUGGAAGCUGUGAAAUACACAGCUCAGAACACCCAGAAAAUUCCUACUUACAUUCUUUUGUAACAGAGAUCAAAAGUAUGCAGCUUAUAGGAACAGAUAAGGAGAUACCACCAGCUUCUCAAUUUCCUGCAACACUGGAGAAUGCUUUUUUCCUUUUCCAUCUGAAGAAAUAUGUCUUCACAUCAAGGAAAGCACAGGGCACCCUGUUACUCCGGGCAAUGUGGGUUAAUAGAGCUAAACUAAUAGUCAAGAAGAGCAAGACUUUCCAUACUGCACCCCAUCUGGAAACACAGGUGCUGUGCCUUGAUUUUAAAAAUCCAUUUCAAAGCAAUUUAUAUGCAGAAUAUUCUACUGUUGGGACAACAGACUCCCUGGAUACUACUUGGAAUGUAUGCCCAUUUCCGAAGUAUAGCUUCAAGAAACUGAAGAGAAGGCAGAUCCGUGUGACUGCCCCAGCCAUACUGAAGGACCAGAACACGUUCCCCCAUGAGAGCAACUCCCCUUUGGCUGAGGAAAGACCAAAGGCAAAUCCACUUUGGUGCCAGAAUAAAGGAAUUUGGAGGAGCCUGGAUUCCCAGCAGCACAAAACUUCCGCAGCGCCAGAAGAUGACACAGCAACUUGCUGA